AUUUUUUAUUUUUUAUUUUUUUCCACUCUUUUUGAAUCUCUCCCCCAAGGCAACAGCUGAUUUUAUACCAGUGCAAAAGGAAGAAAAAUCGGAGAGGAGUGAUAGAAUACAAAGAUGUGAUGGUUUCUUUGACCCGGCUGAUGAUGAAGAGCGUGCAGGUGUGUAGGAUUGUAUAGGCUAGUGAUUUUUCUAAAUUAGCAUUUCUGCAUGAAUUUUUCCUCAAAAUAUUGAAUGGCAA
rnacentral:misc_RNA from 1 species